CUCGCACGCUCUUGUACAGGCUCUAAAUCGGGCCUAAGAGGGAAUACGGAGCGAUCUGUUGAUCGUGACCGAGCUGCCCCCGCAACUGUAAACAGCGAGUCUGCCGCAUCUGCGCCACUGGGCAACCGGGAAGGCCGCGGCCGAUCAAGACCUGUCAGCCAGGAGACCUGCCGACGACGCUAGUCGCGA
rnacentral:ncRNA from 2 species